GAUGAAGAACGCAGCGAAAUGCGAUACGUAAUGUGAAUUGCAGAUUUCAGUGAAUCAUCGAAUCUUUGAACGCACAUUGCGCCCGCCAGUAUUCUGGCGGGCAUGCCUGUUCGAGCGUCAUUUCAACCAUCAAGCCCCCGGCUUGUGUUGGGGACCUGCGGCUGCCGCAGGCCCUGAAAACCAGUGGCGGGCUCGCUAGUCACUCCGAGCGUAGUAGUUACAUCUCGCUCAGGGCGUGCUGCGGGUUCCGGCCGUUAAAAGCCUUAUUUACCCAAGGUUGACCUCGGAUCAGGUAGGAAGACCCGCUGAACUUAAGCAUAUCAAUAAGCGGAGGA
rnacentral:misc_RNA from 1 species